AAUCAAGCUUUCCCUUCACAAAUCUUCUCUCUUUUCAUAUUCUUACAUGGUAUCAGAGCCUAGGAUUCUUAGUCCCAGCUCUGCUUUCAUCUUCUUCUGAUCUAAAAAAAAAGACCCAUAUCUGGUCUGUGAAAGCAAUACCUGAAACUUCAAGAUCAAGCUUUCUCACCUCCAUAUGUUGGUUGUUAAGUCUCACCUCCCAUCCCGGGAAGUACAACAGCUGUCCGCAACUGCCUUGCCAAAACCAUGCCAUCAGAAGCAGCGCUUGUGAAGUACACAUGCCUUUUCAAAGUUCCUGCCCUUCUUCCAUGCGCCAAUGUGUGGAGCCUUUUCCGGUCACUGCCUCAUACCGGAUCUCCUCCUAGUGACGUCGCCCAAGUUUGGUGACCCCUCUUGGCUUGUCACCUGCAACAGAAUCCCAAAAGGAGAACAUCCUCUCGUAUUCCAGUUAGCUAGUUCGUUGU
rnacentral:misc_RNA from 1 species